AUUGAACGCUGGCGGCAUGCCUUACACAUGCAAGUCGAACGGCAGCACGGGAGCAAUCCUGGUGGCGAGUGGCGAACGGGUGAGUAAUAUAUCGGAACGUGCCCAGUCGUGGGGGAUAACGUAGCGAAAGCUACGCUAAUACCGCAUACGAUCUAUGGAUGAAAGCGGGGGAUCGCAAGACCUCGCGCGAUUGGAGCGGCCGAUAUCAGAUUAGGUAGUUGGUGGGGUAAAGGCUCACCAAGCCGACGAUCUGUAGCUGGUCUGAGAGGACGACCAGCCACACUGGGACUGAGACACGGCCCAGACUCCUACGGGAGGCAGCAGUGGGGAAUUUUGGACAAUGGGCGCAAGCCUGAUCCAGCAAUGCCGCGUGCAGGAUGAAGGCCUUCGGGUUGUAAACUGCUUUUGUACGGAACGAAACGGUGAGCUCUAAUACAGUUUGCUAAUGACGGUACCGUAAGAAUAAGCACCGGCUAACUACGUGCCAGCCGCCGUCGUAA
rnacentral:rRNA from 1 species